rnacentral:lncRNA from 7 species
UCUUUUCCAGGAACUACGUUUCUCCAUGAUUAGACAUUUUAACCAUUCUGUUUGGACAGCAUCUCUGUGAAGCCAUUGUGCCAAGCAAGACCUGUUCAGAAGAGAUCUAAAUAGAUAAAUGUUCAUCCCGGAUGAGUACCUGACUCCAGAGUUCACUAGUGUCAGUUAAUCUAGACCUUCACCUGUCGCUUUGUUCCUGCAGCUGGGUGCAUGUGGACUGACUACAGAUGAAUACCUCUAUUUCUGGCCUUCAUGCCACUAAAUAUAUGGAGCUAUUCUAUAGAAAAUAUAAUGAAAUGGAAUCAAAGAACCUCAUCCUAAGCCUUCUGUAAGGUUACAAGCUAGGUAUGAGCAGCCACUAAAGCUGUACUGAAAUCUAACAAAUGAGACAGCAUAAUUUGUUCCAUUCAUACUUUAUUUGUGUACCAGGAGAAUUUUUUUCAUAUUCCCCAGCUUAUUUACAAAUCCUACAUCCUGUCAAAACAGAAAAAUGUAGGAGAAACAAGGAAAAAUGACCCUUCUAUACACUUAGGUGGAUUUUCAAAACUUUUGGGUCAUAAGGAAAGUUGGAUGUCAGCAUUUUCAAACUUCAGCUUCCAUUUGAGCUGAAUUCAAAUACAUUUCAAUCCAAUUGUUAUUUGAAACUCUUUAUGGAAUUUGUAAUUUUAAAAUUUCAUUUUCUUUUUUUUUCCAAAAAAUAUAUUUUUUUUAGUUCUACUUUUUUGCAGAGCCAUUCUGCAAGUGUCUUUUAUAUUUUAGCCUUUGGAAAUAUACAGAAAAAUUAUGGAAGGUUUUUGGGAUUUUGUUUGUUUUCACUUAGAAUCUUACUACUGUCUGUGAAGUGAAGUGCCCUUGGUGUCACAGUAUUGUCUGCAUUCUUAACAGCAAUGCUCUAUGACUGGUAGAAAGAAUUUUUUCCUUUAUAAAUGGAUCAUUUUGUUGUCAUGAAAUAUCAUUACAGUAACAAACAUUAUAAUAAAACUAGCAUGCCCU